UCUUGCGCAAUGGGCGAAAGCCUGACGCAGCCAUGCCGCGUGAAUGAUGAAGGUCUUAGGAUUGUAAAAUUCUUUCACCGGGGACGAUAAUGACGGUACCCGGAGAAGAAGCCCCGGCUAACUUCGUGCCAGCAGCCGCGGUAAUACGAAGGGGGCUAGCGUUGCUCGGAAUUACUGGGCGUAAAGGGAGCGUAGGCGGACAUUUAAGUCAGGGGUGAAAUCCCGGGGCUCAACCUCGGAAUUGCCUUUGAUACUGGAUGUCUUGAGUGUGAGAGAGGUAUGUGGAACUCCGAGUGUAGAGGUGAAAUUCGUAGAUAUUCGGAAGAACACCAGUGGCGAAGGCGACAUACUGGCUCAUUACUGACGCUGAGGCUCGAAAGCGUGGGGAGCAAACAGG
rnacentral:rRNA from 1 species